UGACCAAGGGAAAACUUGAGUAGUUUACUCUGAGACCCAUCCCUAGAGGAGAAGACAAGAGAAGAGAGAUAUGGAAGAGGACAGACACAGAGAGUGCAUCAACGGGCCAGUGAGCCUCACCUGGACUGCAUCUCGGCCUGUGCUGCUUUCUGGGCUGUAAGGGCAGGAGUCCCAUGCGGAGAGUGGCUGAGCUGGGCUGGGGCGCUGCUCUGCUGGCUCAGAGGAGGGUGUGUGCUCUGGGACUGGGCAGUUGGUGGGAGAGAGGCCUGGGAGUUCUGCCGCUGGGCCUGCUGCUGCUGCUGCUGUUUGUAGCGGGACAAGCUGAAGAAGAGGCCGAGGAUGGCUUUCAGAUUACCAUUCCGAAUCUCUGUGGGUCAGGGAGAAGGACAAUUUUGAAUAUCAAAAAGGAAAAGGCAGAUGAGGUGAAGAAGGAAAAAUGUAGAUGAAGGCAAAAGUAAGACUGAAAUGUCACUGUCACUUCAACUACGCAAAAUGAAUGUGCAGAACUGUUCUGUGCUAAGAAACUAAAGUUACUAGCAUGCUACAGGACAGCACUAUGAUUACUGCUUUUACUGGCUGUUAUGACCUAUUGAUAUACUGUUGUGAUAAGGACUCAUUCCUUUAUUGCCCUUUACCCGCUUACUCAUAUUUAGUAUCACAGGCAGAAAGUCUCCUUUAUACCUAUGCACGUUAAACCAGCAGUGUACUCCAAACUAAAUGGAAUGUGACAGAAAAACUGACGAGUUUGUGACCUAAAAUAAAAUUGAACAUUUGACUUUAAUGGUCACAAAAGAACUUAAUUCAAAUUAUUUCCACAGACUUGUGCUAGUUUUAGGGGAACUUUUUAACAUCCAAGCCAUAACCUGACUUGUUAGCUCCUUCAUCUGACAUUGACGCAAAUAAGUGAACAGACUUCGAGUUGCAGCGAGAAUACUAGUAUUUUCUCGCAAAGCUGGAUUCAACAGCAGCCUGAAAACACAAACACAAACACAAAUACAUUCUAAUUUGCGGCCUACUGCUGGCCUUAGCUCUCCAAUCUAUCUGACUUGCAUGUUUGUGGACUGCAAGAGGAAAGUCACAAGAAAAUACUUUGAGAACAUGUACUCCUUACAGAGUAGAGAACUGACCCGAUGUCUUUCUUGCUGUCAGGGAACAUCGCAAUCCACUGAUUCACUGUUCUGCCCAAAGAUAACACUAGUAGUAUUAGUACCACUACUAUUAUUGUUCCUAUGUUCCCUGUGUGAAUAAUAUGAUGUAAGCCUACAUUCAUCUUGUUUUGAAGUAGGCUACAUUUAAACACUGCACUAUUGUGAGCUUUUUGGUACAUUAGUUCUAUAUAUUGUGUAAUCAGCCCUAUCAAGCCUAAAUGUUUUAAUGUGUAUUGUCUGGCAUUAAUGUAGUGUGUCCUGGUAAAAGAGCUUGCCAAUAAAAAUGCCUUAAUGUA